rnacentral:tRNA from 2 species
UGGUAGACGCUACGGACUAAAAUCCGUUGGCUUUAAUAGACCUUGAGGGUUCAAGUCCCUCUACCCCCA